UCACAUACCUCUAAAUUCACCCAACUGCGUAGAAGCAAAAUCUGGGUGGCCGCCGUCAAGUACCGCCGUUCGUCUUCAUUCAAAGAUGUACCGUUGGUUUGGGAGGUCUCGCGAGAUCUCGCACAGUGUCCCUUCCCGGGCACCGUACAAUCCCGCCACUGAAUGUAUAGAUACCGGAAGCUUGCGAGCGGUAAAACUGGUUACGGCGUGUUUAGGUUAUAGCAUGGAUGCUGAGGACAUUUGCGUGAGAUAGCGUUGCUUGCCCAGUCUAGUUGACUAACGUUAGCUACGUUACAAGACAGUUACAGUAAUAGCUAUGUCGAAAAGAAAACACAACGUUACUCUCAACACGAAAGAAAAAGAUUGGUUGAGAGAAAACGUUCCAAGACGUACUUUGACAAGAUGGAAAAAAAGGAAAAUCAACAGAACUUUGACUGACAUUGAAAAACACACUGCUCAACGACAUGAAAUUGAUGAAGGUGCCAGCCAAAGCGAAGAGCAGAGAGCAGAGCCUUUCACAUUAACACAGGAAAUUGAUGAAGAUGCCAGCCAAAGCGAAGAGCAGAGAGCAGAGCCUUUCACAUCAACACAGGAAAUUGAUGAGGAUGCCAGCCAAAGCGAAGAGCAGAGAGCAGAGCCUUUCACAUUAACACAGGAAAUUGAUGAAGAUGCCAGCCAAAGCGAAGAGCAGAGAGCAGAGCCUUUCACAUCAACACAGGAAAUUGAUGAAGAUCCCAGCCAAAGCGAAGAGCAGAGAGCAGAGCCUUUCACAUCAACACAGGUGAGACAAAACUACAGUGCACACAUUUAUGAAGUUUAUUACAUAAUUUGGUAUGAAAAUAAAGUAUCACAAGACAACCAAUGCAAUAACAACAUUCACACAUUCAUUUCCGCAGUUCAUGUAAGUGUACCGACACUUUCUGUC
rnacentral:lncRNA from 1 species